AGAUUGAACGCUGGCGGCAUGCCUUACACAUGCAAGUCGAACGCGAAAGGGGGGCAACCCCCGAGUAGAGUGGCGAACGGGUGAGUAAUACAUCGGAACGUGUCCAGUAGCGGGGGAUAACCUCUCGAAAGAGAGGCUAAUACCGCAUACGACCUACGGGUGAAAGAGGGGGAUCGCAAGACCUCUCACUAUUGGGGCGGCCGAUGUCGGAUUAGCUAGUUGGCGGGGUAAAAGCCCACCAAGGCGACGAUCCGUAGCUGGUCUGAGAGGACGACCAGCCACACUGGAACUGAGACACGGUCCAGACUCCUACGGGAGGCAGCAGUGGGGAAUUUGGACAAUGGGCGCAAGCCUGAUCCAGCCAUGCCGCGUGAGUGAAGAAGGCCUUCGGGUUGUAAAGCUCUUUCGGCGGGACGAAAGGUCCGUGUUAACACCACGGAUCCAUGACGGUACCCGCAGAAGAAGCACUGGCUAACUACGUGCCAGCAGCCGC
rnacentral:rRNA from 1 species